UUGGCUUGGUCAAAUCAGUGUUCAAACUAUCUCCUGCCCUUUCAAGAGGAUCUAGGGCUCUAGAAG
ensembl:misc_RNA